GAUGAACGCUGGCGGCGUGCUUAACACAUGCAAGUCGAACGGGAAAUACUUUAUUGAAACUUUGGUGGAUUUAAUUUAUUUCUAGUGGCGGACGGGUGAGUAACGCGUGGGUAACCUGCCUUAUACUGGGGGAUAACAGCCAGAAAUGACUGCUAAUACCGCAUAAGCGCACAGAACCGCAUGGUUCCGUGUGAAAAACUCCGGUGGUAUAAGAUGGACCCGCGUUGGAUUAGCUAGUUGGCAGGGCAGCGGCCUACCAAGGCGACGAUCCAUAGCCGGCCUGAGAGGGUGAACGGCCACAUUGGGACUGAGACACGGCCCAGACUCCUACGGGAGGCAGCAGUGGGGAAUAUUGCACAAUGGGGGAAACCCUGAUGCAGCGACGCCGCGUGAAGGAAGAAGUAUCUCGGUAUGUAAACUUCUAUCAGCAGGGAAGAUAAUGACG
rnacentral:rRNA from 1 species